GACCCCAAUGCAGGGUCAGUGUGUGUGGGCCCCAGGGACCCCAAUGCAGGGUGAGUGUGUGUGGGCUCCAGGGACCCCAAUGCAGGGUCAGUGUGUGGGGGGUGCAGGGACCCCAAUGCGAGGUCACUGUGUGGGGGGUGCAGGGACCCCUCGUGACCAGGGCACUUUGGUGCACUCUCCCGCAAGUCACCCCUGUCUCAGAGGAGGGGUCCUGGUAGGCAGUGGUCAAUUCCUUUCCGGAAUCCAGCUCCACACUCACCUGCCCACUGCAACCCCACAGAGCCACGUCCCCCCCUGCACCCGGUCUGCAAGGAUGUCCCAGGACAGACUCAAUCCAGCCCAGCAUGCAGCUGCCCUCCUCCCCUGAGGAUGGGAGUGGGCUUUCCUGGGGACAUAAAGAUACCAGGACUGGACCUCCUGGCAGGAAAGGAAGUGGGUCCUGAAGGCCUGUGCCCCACAGCCCCAGCACCAGGUGGACUGCAGCACAGUGGGUGGGCCAGCAGCAGCCAAGGAGAGCAACCCCUCCCCAUUAGGAGGCUGGGGUCUGCCCACCAGGGCCUUCUCAUGUCUGCCUUUGAGGGUACCUCCCAUGCCCUGGGGUUUCCCAGCGACUUUACAGGACUGGAAGCAGGAGACAGAAGAGUGUCUGUCCCAGGGUGACUUCAUCAGGAGACCACCCACAUAGAGCUGGACCCUGCAGCUAAAGCAGAAAUGUGAGACAGGCUGGGGCCUCUGGAACAACUGCCUUUCAGCUUUGGGGUUCCAUGCAAGGUGAAGAAAAAUAUGUCCUCCAAGUUUACAGCUUGAAAUCAGGCUAGAGUGUGGCCCUGGAGACCACAAGGGGAGAAGGUAGAGUGGCCCCAAGUGGCAGGGUCUAGGUGGCUGGCAGAGGCACAGGCAGACCCUGCCUGGAGCCUACCCUGGUGAUGCUGGUGGGUCAGUCUCCUUGCAGGAUGUGAGCAGCAUCCCUGGUCUCUAUCCCCAAGGUGCCCGUAGCAUGUGCAGGGACAUACAUGUGCGUGCACACACAGCUGUGACACCCAGAAAUGUCUCAGGACAUUGAAAUGUGUCCUUGGGGACAGAAGUGUGCCUGGUUGAGAAUCUGCCCCAGGGGAACACAACCCACCAGGUCUCAGGAUUUUGUGUUGCUCAAGUUCCAAGGAAAAGGAACAUCUUGGCUGGGCGUGGUAGCUCGUGCCUGGAAUCCCGGCACCUGAGGCCAGGCGUUCGGGACCAGCCUGGGCAAUGUAGGGAGAGACGCCUGUCUCUAAAAAAAAAGAAAAUGAGAUCUCCAGUUUAAAAAAUUCAUAAACACCGCAAGGAAACAAUAUACUCUGAGACCAGCAGAAACAACAGAUAGACUCUAGACACAGAUACUGGAAUUAUCAGAGAGAACAUAAAGUAACAAUGCUUUAUAUAUAUACAGAAACAAAGAGAUUUCUGAAAAUAUGAAAAAAAAA